CGGGGAGCAAGCUUGCUUGCUCUGCCGGCGACCGGCGCACUGGUGAGUAACACGUAUGCAACCUGCCCUCCGCAGGGGGAUAACCCGGAGAAAUCCGGACUAAUACCGCGUGGUACACUUGUGGGGCAUCCCACGGGUGUUAAAAGGAAGUGAUUCCGGCGGAGGAUGGGCAUGCGGCGCAUUAGCUGGUUGGCGGGGUAACGGCCCACCAAGGCGACGAUGCGUAGGGGUUCUGAGAGGAAGGUCCCCCACACUGGUACUGAGACACGGACCAGACUCCUACGGGAGGCAGCAGUGAGGAAUAUUGGUCAAUGGGCGGGAGCCUGAACCAGCCAAGUCGCGUGAGGGAAGACGGUCCUAUGGAUUGUAAACCUCUUUAGGCGGGGAGCAAUGCCGGGCACGCGUGCCCGGAGGGAGAGUACCCGCAGAAUAAGCAUCGGCUAACUCCGUGCCAGCAGCCGCGGUAAUACGGAGGAUGCGAGCGUUAUCCGGAUUUAUUGGGUUUAAAGGGUGCGUAGGCGGAUUUUUAAGUCAGCGGUAAAAUGUCCGGGCUCAACCCGGGCCGGCCGUUGAAACUGGGGAUCUUGAGUGGGCGAGAAGUAUGCGGAAUGCGUGGUGUAGCGGUGAAAUGCAUAGAUAUCACGCAGAACUCCGAUUGCGAAGGCAGCAUACCGGCGCCCGACUGACGCUGAGGCACGAAAGCGUGGGGAUCGAACAGGAUUAGAUACCCUGGUAGUCCACGCAGUAAACGAUGAAUGCUAGUUGUCCGGUUCUUUGGGACUGGG
rnacentral:rRNA from 1 species